UAGUAUCUGGAUGCAAGAUGUUACAAGGGACAGUAUACACUGAGAAGCAAAACUGAGAGAGAGAGAGUGAGCAUUCAGAAAGUAUUCUGAUCCCUUCAUUUUCCCACCACAUUUUUUUAUGUUGCAAACGUAUGGUGCAGUGUUAAAAAAUUGUCACACCAAUCAAUGCACCAUGAUGGCCUAGCAAAAACUAGAUUUUCAAAAAACUGCAAUAUCACAAUUAUGCUAUGGGGAAUUCAACAAUUACUUUGUUGGAUUCCCCUUCUAGCAAAUUGUUUUGGAAAGGCACAUACCUGCCUAUAUAAGGUAUUAUGGUGUAUAUGCAUAACUAAGGAACUGUAUACAGAGAUGAAAUAUAUAUUAUGUAGCACAGAACUGGGGAAGGCUACAAAAAAAUUCAGAUGUAUUGAAGGUUCCCAAGAACACAGUGGCCUCCCUAAUUCUUAAAUGGAAGAAGUUUGGAACAGCCAUAACUUUUCCUACACCUGGCUACCCAGUCAAACUAUGCAACCUGGGGAGAUGGCCUUGGUAAGAGAGGUCACCAAGAACCCAAUUGUCACUCUCUGUGAGCUCCAGAAAACAUGUGUGGAGAGGGGAGACAUUUUCCAAAGGACAACCAUCACUACAACACUCCAUCAAUCUGACUUUAUGGUACACUGUCAAGAUGGAAGCAUCUCCUCACUGCAGGACACACAGAAGCAUGCAUGGAAUUUGCAAAAAACACCUACAGGACUCUCUAACUGUAAAAAACAAGAUUUGCUGAUCUAACGAAACAAAGAUUCAACUGUUUGGCCUCCAUUCAAAGUAUUGUAUCUGUGAUAAACCAUGUAGCACUCAUCACCUGCUCAAUACUAUCCAAAUGUUAAAGCAUGAUAGUAGUAGCAUCAUACUUUGUGGGUGUUUUUCAGUGGCAGGGACUGAGAGACAGGUCAGAUUUGAUGCAAAGCUUGGUGCAGCAAAAUGCGAGAUAUCC